rnacentral:rRNA from 1 species
UGUGUAGGCGGUUCUCUAAGUUCGGUGUGAAAUCUCCCGGCUCAACUGGGAGGGUGCGCCGGAAACUGGAGGGCUUGAGUAUGGGAGAGGAAAGCGGAAUUCCUGGUGUAGCGGUGAAAUGCGUAGAUAUCAGGAGGAACACCUGCGGUGUAGACAGCUUUCUGGACCAUCACUGACGCUGAGACACGAAAGCGUGGUAGCAAACA